UACGUAGGGUGCGAGCGUUAAUCGGAAUUACUGGGCGUAAAGCGUGCGCAGGCGGUUUUGUAAGUCAGAUGUGAAAUCCCCGGGCUUAACCUGGGAACUGCGUUUGAAACUACAAGGCUAGAGUGUAGCAGAGGGGGGUGGAAUUCCACGUGUAGCAGUGAAAUGCGUAGAGAUGUGGAGGAACACCGAUGGCGAAGGCAGCCCCCUGGGCUAACACUGACGCUCAGGCACGAAAGCGUGGGGAGCAAACAGG
rnacentral:rRNA from 2 species